AACAGGGAUUACCUCAGUAACGGCGAGUGAAGCGGUAACAGCUCAAAUUUGAAAUCUGGCUCCUCGGGGCCCGAAUUGUAAUUUGUAGAAGAUGCUUUGGGUCUGGGCCUGGCCUAAGUUCCUUGGAACAGGACGUCGUAGAGGGUGAGAAUCCCGUAUGCGGCUGGCGCCCGUGCCCGUGUAAAGCUCUUUCAACGAGUCGAGUUGUUUGGGAAUGCAGCUCUAAAUGGGUGGUAAAUUUCAUCUAAAGCUAAAUAUUGGCCAGAGACCGAUAGCGCACAAGUAGAGUGAUCGAAAGAUGAAAAGCACUUUGGAAAGAGAGUUAAACAGUACGUGAAAUUGUUGAAAGGGAAGCGCUGGCAACCAGACUUGGGCGCUGUUGAUCCGCUAGGGUUCUCUCUAGGGCACUCGGCAGUGCGCAGGCCAGCAUCGGUUUGGGGGGUUGGAGAAUGGCUGGUGGAAUGUGGCUGUCUUUGGGCAGUGUUAUAGCCACCGGUGGCAUGCAGCCUCCCCGGACCGAGGACCGCGCUUCGGCUAGGAUGCUGGCGUAAUGGUUGUCAGCGACCCGUCUUGAAACACGGACCAAGGAGUCUAACAUCUAUGCGAGUGUUUGGGUGUUAAACCCAUACGCGGAAUGAAAGUGAACGUAGGUGAGAACCCGCAAGGGUGCAUCAUCGACCGAUCCUGAUGUCUUCGGAUGGAUUUGAGUAAGAGCAUAGCUGUUGGGACCCGAAAGAUGGUGAACUAUGCCUGAAUAGGGUGAAGCCAGAGGAAACUCUGGUGGAGGCUCGCAGCGGUUCUGACGUGCAAAUCGAUCGUCAAAUUUGGGUAUAGGGGCGAAAGA
rnacentral:rRNA from 1 species